rnacentral:misc_RNA from 1 species
AAACUAGCCAGUAUACCCUUG